rnacentral:rRNA from 1 species
UACGAAGGGGGCUAGCGUUGCUCGGAAUCACUGGGCGUAAAGCGCACGUAGGCGGGUCUUUAAGUCGGGGGUGAAAUCCUGGAGCUCAACUCCAGAACUGCCUUCGAUACUGAGGAUCUCGAGUCCGGGAGAGGUGAGUGGAACUCCGAGUGUAGAGGUGAAAUUCGUAGAUAUUCGGAAGAACACCAGUGGCGAAGGCGGCUCACUGGCCCGGUACUGACGCUGAGGUGCGAAAGCGUGGGGAGCAAACAGG